CAGCCGCCACGGUAAUACGGAGGGUGCAAGCGUUAAUCGGAAUUACUGGGCGUAAAGCGCACGCAGGCGGUCUGACAAGUCAGAUGUGAAAUCCCCGGGCUUAACCUGGGAACUGCAUUUGAAACUGUCAGGCUGGAGUCUUGUAGAGGGGGGUAGAAUUCCAGGUGUAGCGGUGAAAUGCGUAGAGAUCUGGAGGAAUACCGGUGGCGAAGGCGGCCCCCUGGACAAAGACUGACGCUCAGGUGCGAAAGCGUGGGGAGCAAACAGGAUUAGAUACCCCGGUAGUCCCUGUCUCUUAUAC
rnacentral:rRNA from 1 species